rnacentral:pre_miRNA from 1 species
UAGUGUUCAUGAUGAUGACGAUGAUGAUGAUGAUGAUGAUGAUGAUCAUCAUCAUCAUCAUCAUCAUCAUCGUCGUCAUCAUCGUCAUCAUCGUCA